rnacentral:rRNA from 1 species
CUAACACAUGCAAGUCGAACGAGAAGCGCACCUUCGGGUGCGUGGAAAGUGCAGACGGGUGAGUAACGCGUGGGAACGUACCCUUCGGUUCGGAAUAACCGGGGAAACUCGGGCUAAUACCGGAUACGUCCGUAAGGAGAAAGAUUUACGCCGAAGGAUCGGCCCGCGUCCGAUUAGCUUGUUGGUGGGGUAAUGGCCACCAACGCGACGAUCGGUAGCUGGUCUGAUAGGAUGAUCAGCCACACUGGACUGAGACACGGCCCAGACUCCUACGGGAGGCAGCUGUGGGGAAUAUGGACAAUGGGCGCAAGCCUGAUCCAGUCAUGCCGUUUGAGUGAAGAAGGCUUAGGGUUGUUUAGCACGUACAGCCGGGAAGAUAAUGACGGUUGCCGGGAUACAA